AUGAACGGGAGUCGACAGAUGGAACUCCACUACAUAAACACUGGAUAUCCAUACACCAUCACCGAGAGCUUCAUGGAUUUUUUUGAAGGCCUCACAUAUGCUCAAGCUGAUUUUGCUCUUGCCGAUGCCUUCCAGGAUCAGGCUAAUCCAUACUGGACGAUGAUGCAGACAAACUCGUAUAAAUACGGAUAUUCUGGCGCAGGAAAUUACUAUAGCUAUGGACAUGUGUAUGACAUGAAUGACUACAUGCAUAGAGCAGAUAGUGGACGCAGAAUUUGGGAUAACCCCAUGCCUGUAAACAAUACCGACUCCCCCAACAUAGUCCUGCAGGGUGCUGAAGCUCCUCAUGCAAGUGCAAGUUCUACUACCGAGGAACGCAUCCAACAACCUGUGCACCAAAAUUCAAGCAGUCCUCAGGUUGUUUGGCAAGACAGCAUUGAUCCUGACAACAUGACAUAUGAGGAAUUGUUGGAUUUGGGCGAGGCAGUUGGAACCCAAAGUCGGGGUCUCUCCCAAGAAAGCAUUUCAGCACUUCCAAUCACCAAAUUCAAGUGUGGUUUAUUUUCAAGGAAGAAAAAACGCCGUGAAAGGUGUGUAAUCUGUCAAAUGGAGUAUCGGAGAGGGGAUCUGCAGAUGGCACUCCCCUGCAAGCAUGUGUACCACGCCAGCUGCGUGACAAAAUGGCUUACCAUCAACAAGGUAUGCCCUGUCUGCUUUGCUGAAGUUCCCGGCGAGGAGCCCAAGAGGCAAUGA
rnacentral:rRNA from 1 species